rfam:Gossypium raimondii Chr06_contig_1017, whole genome shotgun sequence.
GAGUGUGAUCUUAAAGUACUAAUGUACUGAAUCACAUUAAAACUUUACAAUUAAAUGUGUUUGGGCGAGAGUAAUAUUAGGAUAGAUAACUUUUUGAAAGGUCUUCAUGUCGCACCCU